GUACUGUGCAAACGUUAUUCGGGAAUCACUGGGGCUUAAAGGGGUGCGUAGGCGGCUAGCUAAGUAGGGGGGUGUGAAAUGCCUCGACUCAACCGAGGGAACUGCGCUCUAAACUGGUUAGCUUGAGUGAGAUAGGGGUGUGCGGAACUUCCAGUGGAGCGGUGAAAUGUGUUGAUAUUGGAAGGAACGCCGGUGGCGAAAGCGGCACACUGGGUCUCAACUGACGCUGAGGCACGAAAGCCAGGGUAGCGAACGGGAUUAGAUACCCCGGUAGUCCUGGCUGUAAACGAUGAGCACUAGAUGGGAGGGACUUCGGUCCAUCCGGUCGCAGCGAAAGCAUUAAGUGCUCCGCCUGGGGAGUAUGGUCGCAAAGGCUG
rnacentral:rRNA from 1 species